UUGUCAACUGGAGUUCUCCUCAAAUCACUUCAGUAGCUAGCUAGCUAGCUUGUGCCUCAUUGUUUCAUUGCCGCUGUUUAUAAGUGUGCAUGGAGCUGGAGAGCCGUGCACAGUGAAGUGUUUGGGGGAACUCCGGGUGGCAA
rnacentral:pre_miRNA from 1 species